rnacentral:rRNA from 1 species
UACGUAGGGUGCAAGCGUUGUCCGGAAUUAUUGGGCGUAAAGAGCUCGUAGGCGGUCUGUCGCGUCUGCUGUGAAAACUCAGGGCUUAACCCUGAGCUUGCAGUGGGGUACGGGCAGACUAGAGUGCAGCAGAGGAUAGUGGAAUUCCCGGUGUAGUGGUGAAAUGCGUAGAUAUCGGGAGGAACACCAGUGGCGAAGGUGACUAUCUGGGCUGCAACUGACGCUGAGGCGCGAAGGCUAGGGUAGCAAACAGG